rnacentral:rRNA from 1 species
GGGGAAUUUUCCGCAAUGGGCGAAAGCCUGACGGAGCAACGCCGCGUGCGGGAGGACGGCCUGUGGGUUGUAAACCGCUUUUCUCAGGGAAGAAGAUCUGACGGUACCUGAGGAAUCAGCAUCGGCUAACUCCGUGCCAGCAGCCGCGGUAAUACGGAGGAUGCAAGCGUUAUCCGGAAUUAUUGGGCGUAAAGCGUCCGCAGGCGGCUAGUCAAGUCUGCUGUUAAAGCGCAGAGGCUUAACUUCGGUAAAGGCAGUGGAAACUGAUUAGCUAGAGUGCGAUAGGGGUAGAGGGAAUUCCCAGUGUAGCGGUGAAAUGCGUAGAUAUUGGGAAGAACACCAGUGGCGAAGGCGCUCUACUGGGUC